CAGGGAUGUGAUGAGUCCUACAGACCUGUAAUGAUUUGUGGUAAUGAUUGCAACACUUUAAGAACAUCCAAGGGACUGAGUGCUU
rnacentral:snoRNA from 1 species